CAAUAGCGUAUAUUAAAGCUGUUGCGGUUAAAAAGCUCGUAGUUGGAUUUCUGUCAAGGACAACUGGUCCGCCCUUCGGGUGAGCACAUAGUUUGGUCUUGGCAUCUUGUUGGAAACUGUUGCUGCACUUGGUUGUGUGGCGCAGCGUCCAGCACUUUCACUUUGAGGAAAUUGGAGUGUUUCAAGCAGGCACAUGCCUUUGGACACAGUAGCAUGGAAUAAUUAGAUUGGGCUUUUGCUCCAACUUGUCGGUUUCUGGAGCUGAGGUGAGAAUUAAUGGGGAUUGUUGGGGGCAUCCGAAUUUAGCUGUCAGAGGUGAAAUUCUUGGAUCUGCUAAAGACGGACAACUGCGAAAGCGUUUGCCCAGGAUGUUUUCAUUGA
rnacentral:rRNA from 1 species